AACCGUCAGAUCAAAGCUCCCUUCUCUGCUGCAGUAGCUUCUGUUCCUCGGCAGUCGGCACUCGGCAGACUCACUAGUCACUUGCCGCCACCCUCCUCUUCUUCUUCAUCUUCAUCUUUUUUCUCUCUUCAACACACAAAAUCCCUAGCCUAUGCCUGUGCCUUUCGCGGAAACGAAAGAAGGUUGAAAUUGAUGGAAGUUCAAGGUCAAAGGGAAUUGUCUUCACAAGAUAAUCUUGCAUACAUGGAGCUUGCAAUGGAACAGGCAAAAUAUGCACUGGAUUGUCUUGAAGUGCCAGUGGGUUGUCUGAUUGUUGAAGGUGGGAAAGUCAUUGCAUCUGGAAGAAAUCGAACAACAGAGACAAGAAAUGCCACAAGACAUGCUGAGAUGGAAGCAAUAGAUGUUCUUCUUAAGCAGUGGCAAAAAAGUGGACUUUCAACAUUAGAAGUUGCUGAAAAUUUUUCACAAUGUACUCUCUAUGUUACGUGUGAACCAUGUAUCAUUUGUGCUGCAGCUCUAUCUAUUCUUGGUAUAAAGGAAGUGUAUUACGGAUGUGCAAAUGAUAAAUUUGGAGGGUGUGGAUCAAUAUUGUCAUUACAUUCUGGGAGCUUUCAACCACUUAAUAGAGGAUGGAGAGCCUUCUACCAAAGAUAAGGGCAAGAGCAAAGCUUAAGGAGCUUUGAUUAAAGCUUACUAAACCUUGUUUUGAAGCUCCGAAGCCUCACAGGCCAGUGACGCUUCAGGUAAUACACCACUCUUGAAACUACUGGAUUACCAUUUGUUUCCCAUUAUCAUGAUUUAGGACUUGUUCUUACAAAGAGUAUUUGUUAUAAAUUGAUAUAUGGACAAAGCAAUUGUAUUGAGUUAAGAAAUAUUUACUUAAAAAUGUAGUAUUUUCAAUUUUCAUUCACUUUUGGAAGUGUAUACUUCAAUUUCUUUUCUUACCAAGUAUAGAACUCGUGAUGACUUUUAUUCUUUUGGGUAAAA